GUAAAUCAACUAUGCUUUAAUAAAAAAUGUAAAAUAAAUACACAUAACAAGAUUGUUUUUCAUUGACAAUGCUGGCUCCUUAACCCACUGCACCCCAAGGGAACUCCCUAUCUUAAUUAUUCUUACGUGCGAGGUCCUGUGGUUAUUAAACCGCAGAUGUUUGGAAGGAGCACCGCGCUACGCUCCAGAGCCCGGCAAUCAACUUAGCUCCUGGCUCGCCGGUGACUAGGUGGCCUUAGGUGAGCUCCUCAGCCACUGGAACCCCAGCCUUCUCUCUGUAAAGAGGAGAUUUUCACAGUGUCGACUCCGCAGCGCUGGCAAGGCUGGAAGGCCAUGGGUGGGAAGCACUGGGCAGUGCUUGGCUCAGAAGGCACCGCGUACACGUUACCCAUUGUUGUUAUUCUAGAGCUUGGAAUUCAGAAUCAGAAUCAGGUCGGGUUUCACCCACCAGGUCGCGCGGAUACAGCUCGGUGCUGGCUGUAGACCGGGCUGAACCCCCUGCGUGGAGGUCGGGGGGGGGCGGUCUGAGAAGUGCUCUGGCUUCCAGGACCAAGUAAGCCUCUGUGCUCUCUUCUCUCGGGCUGUCUCUCUGUCCCUCUGCACCUCUGGGGCUGGGUGGAGCUGGGGCUGCUGCUUCCAGCCAUGGGAUUGGACGGAGAUUCUCAACCUCUUGCUCCUCUGGGGUGCCUCCUUAUGGUACCUACUUCCUCGGCCAUCGCCAGACACGGUAAUGGUUGCUGGGCAGUGCAGAGAGACAUCCAACUUGAACCUCGUCCUGAAAGAUCUUACAGUCCAACUAGGGGGAUGAGACAUGUGCGACUGGGCCAUUUACCAGCUGAUAAUUAUUACUGACUGCCUACCAUGCACAAGAUGUUUGAUAAGGGAGUUCCCGUCACGGUGCAGCGGAAACAAAUCCAACUAGGAACCAGGAGGUUUCAGGCUCGAUCCCUGGCCUCGCUCAGUGGGUUAAAGAUCUGGCAUUGUUGUGAGCUGUUGGUGGAGAUUGAAGGCACGACCCGGAUCCUGCAUGGCUGUGGCUGUGGUGUAGGCCAAUAGCUGUAGCUUCAAUUCAGCCCCUAGCCUGGGAACCUCCAUGUGCCACAGGUGUGGCCCUAAAAAGCAAAAACAACAACAAAAAAGUUUGUUGAUUCAGGCACAGCCACAGAAAUCCAGAGGUGGGAGAAAUGAUAGUAGUUUGGUCAUAUUCAUCUAAACUGAAGCCUGGCCUCUCUUGAUGAGAUGGCUGGAGUGGGUUGGAUGCCGGGUUUUCAGGGAAGGUUUCACAGAAUAGAACUAGCUGUAGAUGUUGCCCAAAAGCAUUUACUAGAAAAUACCCCGGAGUUCCCCCCGUCAUGGCUCAGUGGUUAAUGAAUCUGACUAGCAUCCAGGAGGAUGCAGAUACAAUCCCUGGCCUUUCUCAGUGGGUUAAGGACCCAGCAUUGCCGUGAGCUGUGGUGUAGGCCGCAGACAGGGUUUGGAUCUUGCAUUGCUGUGGCUGUGGUGUAGGCUGGCAGCUACAGCUCAGAUUCGAACCCUGGCCUGGGAACCUCCAUGUGCCAUGGAUACGGCCCUAAAAACAAAAAACAAACAAACAAAAAAAAAACGCCAAGUUAUGGUCCUCAGGUUACUUUGAGAGACUGUGAAGCAAUGAAUCCAGCUGUUUGUGAGGGUUCCUGUAAGGCGAGUGGAAAAUUCAAAUGGAAAUGGGAUCCAAGAAAGAAAAGUGUGAGGGAGGCUGGGAGCUUGCCCUCUCUGUGGCCUUUACAUACAUCCCUCUGGGUUUACUUUCCAUCUGAAUACUUUGGAUGGAGACCUAGGAACCAAAAACUUACUUCUCUAUUCUAGGAAAAACGUGAGUGCAGACAUAAGCAGCUGAUCCUCAGGCUCAGAGACAGGGAGGACUUGGGAAUGGACUGAACUUAGAGUGAAUGGGGAAAUACAGUCCUGUGUAAAAGGAGGCAGCCGGAGUGCCCGUCGUGGCUCAGCGGUUAACAAAUCCGACCAGGAACCAUAAGGUUUCAGGUUCAAUCCCUGGCCUUGCUCAGUGGGUUGAGGAUCCAGCAUUGCCGUGAGCUGUGGUGUAGGUCGCAGACAUGGCUCAGAUCCUGCAUUGCUGUGGUUGAGGCCAGGGACCGAACCUUUGUCCUCAUGGAGGCUAGUCAGAUUCGUUAACCACUGAGACAUGACAGGAACUCCGAUAAUACAGGUUUUCGACACAGAAAGUUGAAAGCUGAAAGAUGGUGGCAGUGGGACUGGAAAAUAGGUUGGAGCAAAACAAACAAAAAGAGAGAGACAAAAACUAAAAGAUGGUAAGAUGAGGAAAGCAGUAGGGUGCGGCAGGAGAAAAGAUAAGCAGGAUCCAGCUAAGAGUGAACCCGCUCUCCCGCCGCCGGAGAGAGGAAGGCCAACCAGGUCGGUUUCAGGCCUGCAGACUUCGGCGAAGUCCGCCUGCCUUCACCCUAACGCUGACCCGGGAAUGAGCUCGCGGGCCCAACCAGCGCUCCGCGGCCCUAGCCCCGCUCCCGGCUUCCUGAGGCUCUGGGGCAAGGCCGUUUACAAACGGAUUUUAUAAACCAGUUGCCUACGGUUAGAGUCACCGGCUCUUCAGGGCAACUUGUGGGGCUCAAGAAGGAGACGGAGACGGAGACGGAGGCGGACGCGCUGGCACUUGGAAGCGGGAGGAAAAGAGGGAGCGGUUUCUUACCCGGGGCUCUGGAAGGACGGAGGCCUCAGAGAGGGGACGGCGAGGGCCGGGCUGCUGGCCCUUCCAGGAGAAACGGCCGCCAGCCUCGCGCCUCACGGCACGAGCCUCCGGGGCGGCUAAGUUCACAGGCGCCCCGGGGACCGUGGUCUGCGCCGCCGGCUUCUCCUCCCCACUCACAGUCCCCCUCUCUUUCUGGAGCUCCUGUCCUCCGCGGGAAGGCCCUGGCCAAGGGGUAGCCCUGAGCGCCGCACCC
rnacentral:lncRNA from 1 species